GAUGAACGCUAGCGGCAGGCCUAACACAUGCAAGUCGAGGGGUAACAGGAAGUGCUUGCACUUCGCUGACGACCGGCGCACGGGUGAGUACCGCGUAUACAAUCUGCCUCAUACUAGGGGAUAGCCCGAAGAAAUUUGGAUUAAUACCCUAUAGUAUCUUUUUAAGGCAUCUUAUUAAGAUUAAAGGUUACGGUAUGAGAUGAGUAUGCGUUCUAUUAGCUAGUAGGUGUGGUAACGGCACACCUAGGCUACGAUAGAUAGGGGCCCUGAGAGGGGGAUCCCCCACACUGGUACUGAGACACGGACCAGACUCCUACGGGAGGCAGCAGUGAGGAAUAUUGGACAAUGGGCGAAAGCCUGAUCCAGCCAUGCCGCGUGCAGGAUGACUGCCCUAUGGGUUGUAAACUGCUUUUAUAUAGGAAGAAAAACUUUCUCGUGAGAAAGCUUGACGGUACUAUAAGAAUAAGGAUCGGCUAACUCCGUGCCAGCAGCCGCGGUAAUACGGAGGAUCCAAGCGUUAUCCGGAAUCAUUGGGUUUAAAGGGUCCGUAGGUGGACAAAUAAGUCAGAGGUGAAAUCCUGCAGCUCAACUGUAGAACUGCCUUUGAUACUGUUUGUCUUGAGUUAUUAUGAAGUGGUUAGAAUGUGUAGUGUAGCGGUGAAAUGCAUAGAUAUUACACAGAAUACCGAUUGCGAAGGCAGAUCACUAAUAAUUAACUGACACUGAGGGACGAAAGCGUGGGUAGCGAACAGGAUUAGAUACCCUGGUAGUCCACGCCGUAAACGAUGGUCACUAGCUGUUUGGACUUCGGUCUGAGUGGCUAAGCGAAAG
rnacentral:rRNA from 1 species